GGACGGUACCUUUCGAGGAAGCCACGGCUAACUACGUGCCAGCAGCCGCGGUAAUACGUAGGUGGCGAGCGUUGUCCGGAUUUACUGGGUGUAAAGGGUGCGUAGGUGGUAUGGCAAGUCAGGAGUGAAAACACGGGGCUCAACCCCGUGACUGCUUUUGAAACUGUCAAACUAGAGUGCAGGAGAGGAAAGCGGAAUUCCUAGUGUAGCGGUGAAAUGCGUAGAUAUUAGGAGGAACACCAGUGGCGAAGGCGGCUUACUGGACGAUAACUGACGUUGAGGCUCGAAAGCGUGGGGAGCAAACAGGAUUAGAUACCCUG
rnacentral:rRNA from 1 species